rnacentral:rRNA from 1 species
UAGCAUAUCAAUAAGCGGAGGAAAAGAAACCAACAGGGAUUCCCCUAGUAACGGCGAGUGAAGCGGGAACAGCUCAAAUUUGAAAUCUGGCCCUCGGGUCCGAAUUGUAAUUUGCAGAGGAUGCUUUUGGUUAGGUACUUUCCGAGUUCCCUGGAACGGGACGCCUUAGAGGGUGAGAGCCCCGUACGGUUGGAUACCGAGCCUUUGUAAAGCUCCUUCGACGAGUCGAGUAGUUUGGGAAUGCUGCUCUAAAUGGGAGGUAAAUUUCUUCUAAAGCUAAAUACCGGCCAGAGACCGAUAGCGCACAAGUAGAGUGAUCGAAAGAUGAAAAGCACUUUGAAAAGAGGGUUAAAUAGCACGUGAAAUUGUUGAAAGGGAAGCGUUUAUGACCAGACUUUUUCCAGGCGGAUCAUCCGGUGUUCUCACCGGUGCACUUCGUCUGGUUGAGGCCAGCAUCGGUUUUCGUAGAGGGAUAAAAGCUUUAGGAAUGUGGUUCCUCCGGGAAUGUUAUAGCCUAUUGUAUAAUACCUCUACGGGGACCGAGGUUCGCGCUCUGCAAGGAUGCUGGCGUAAUGGUCAUCAACGACCCGUCUUGAAACACGGACCAAGGAGUCGAACAUUUGUGCGAGUGUUUGGGUGUUAAACCCUCACGCGUAAUGAAAGUGAACGGAGGUGAGAGCCCUUACGGGUGCAUCAUCGACCGAUCCUGAUGUUUUCGGAUGGAUUUGAGUAAGAGCAUAACUGUUCGGACCCGAAAGAUGGUGAACUAUGCGUGGAUAGGGUGAAGCCAGAGGAAACUCUGGUGGAGGCUCGCAGCGGUUCUGACGUGCAAAUCGAUCGUCAAAUCUGCGCAUGGGGGCGAAAGACUAAUCGAACCAUCUAGUAGCUGGUUACCGCCGA